ACUGUGAUUUUGCUUUGUAGUAUAUGUAUGGUGCACCUAAACCUGAAGAGGAUUCAGCUCUGAAGAGGAUGUUGGGUGGACAUUUUGAUGUCACUAAAGAGAAGAGACCAAUGGAUAUAAAGAAGACACCAUUUGUUCC